GCGCCGUUCUCCUUCGGUUCCCCUCAGCGAGGAUGGCUCACUAUUUAGCAGCGGGCUGCCGUUGUCGCAGUGCCACUUGACCAGCCAGUAUGGAAAGAGGGGCAGUGCGGAGCGGAUCUCUCACUCCCAGCCAGCUGGAGUCUGCCCGGCGGGCUACGGGGACCAGACGGCCAAGUGGUGUUCAGUGGAGCAGCCGGCACACGACCUCUAGAGAGAAGGAUUUUAAAACGACGCUCUUAUCUGACUAUCGCUCUUCCCGAAAGGCGUCCCUGUCUGCUGCCGGUAACCCAGGCAGGCCUGAGUUCUUCAGCCACCCCCAGCGGGUCCUUGGGUCUCCUUCCGAACGAUUAGCAUCCUCCUCUUCAGACGGGGUUCCUUUAUAAACCAGCCCCAGGACUUUAGAUCUUUUGCCUUUUCCUGAGUUGGUCCACACCAGUUUUGUAGUUUAGAUAGAGAGGCGUCGGAACCAGCAAAGCUAAUAGUCCUGUCGUCGUCCCUUAGCAACUCAAACAUUUGCAGAGAGGUAGCUUCUCUUGAGCCAUUCUUUUCCUUGCUGCCUCUGUUUUUUUUUUUUAAGACAAUCUCCUGUUACUGUAAACUAAUAUAGUCAUAUGGAAAACAACCCCAGUGUAGAGUAUUCAUAAGUUGUUACAGUGCAGCUCGAUAUCUGUUGUAGCGUCAGAUGAGGGAAGGAAGCAGGGAAGCUUUUGAUGGGACACAUUGUGCAAGGAGAAGGAAGGCUUCCAGUUACCAACCCAGGCUCGAUUUGAACUGGAAUCCUACAGAUGGAUACACUUUUGUAUCCUGUAACCAAUUAUCUGAAACAUGCAGUUCCUUAUCUGACUUUGUUUUAAAAAUUCCACUUCUCAGUGAAUGGAGAGAACAGCUAGAUGAAAGCUGAAGGCCAGCUAAGGCAGAGUCUACAAUAUUGUAAGUUGUCAUUUUUGAUUAUUCUAAAUAGGGAUUGUUUGUUCUAUCCCUGAAAUGCAGGUACUUUUGCACUGGAACACAGCAGGUGCUUAUCAGAGACUAAAUGGAUUGUAAGUAACAAUAAGUAAGGAAUCCAGUUUCCAAUUAAAAUUGUAAGCACAGUUAGGUAAUUCCAUAAAAUAGGUUGCAUGGCUAACAUGCCUGUCAUCGUUAAAAGUACUUCAGCUCUGUAUUAAACAGAAAUGAUCAGAGCACUGGCAUUUUAUCUUAGCUGAAAGAUGAUAUCACCAACAACCCAGUGCACCAUGCUAGGACGUCCAGUACUAACUCAGAAGAGUGACACCUACUCUAUUAUUUCCUGCUGGGCUUUCCUUUCCUUGCAGGGGUCUCAUCCAAGUAAUCAUCAGUCUUUGGACCCUGUUUGUUUUUCAUAUUUCACAAGCUGCUGCCCAAGGUGACAAAGCAGCAGGUCAUGCUGCCUACUAUGAAGAAAUGGCCAUAAAACUGCAUUCUAGAUGGCAUGGGAUUGCAGUUAACAUUCAAAACUUGUGGAAAUGACACAUUUACUUUUCUCCCAUGAACUGUUUUCUUAUAACUAUAAUUCUUCCCUUUGCCCAACCUUCUGCAUGCUCAUGCUGGGUUUCUUAGAGCUUAAGGCCAGAAGGAACCAUUAGAUCAUCUAAUCUGACUUCCUGCAUAUCAUAGGUCAUUAAAUAUCAUCCAAAUACCCCUGUAUUGAGCCUGAUGACUUUAAUUAGACCAAAGCAUUUCAGUUCUCAAGAGACUAAACUGUUCUGUGCCCCAUGCAGAGAACAGGAGAGAUGAAACUACCACCAAUGCCCGAGGACUCUGCAGAGGUAGGGAAUAAAGUGAGAUGUAUUCAGAUGAUCCUAGCAGGUAAACAAUAGCCCAGGCUGCCGAGGAAGUUGAACCCCCUUCCCCAAGGUCCCUGUCAGUUUUCUCUGGGGGAAGAUUGCCAGAUUUAGGGUUGUAAGUAAUCAGUAUAACCCUGAGUAUGUGACCAAGACACAUCUGCCAGGCAUCUAAGAGAGAGGAUUCUAUGUAUCACCAAAGAGCACUGGUCCACCUCAUCUGGUGUCUUGUCCCAAGCUGAAUCAAUAUCAGAUGCUUCAGAAGAAGCAGGGGGAGGACCCAGAAUACAUUUGGCGGGGGGGGGCAAGAUUCCUUUCUGAUUUCUGCAGAUGACUGGCUGAUGCAUGAGAUUUAAUUAUAGGGUAUGUCUACACUUCUAUCAAAAGUGUGACUGCAGCAUGUGUAGAACGGAGCUAACUUUCAGCUAGGUAGCUUGAAUAAAAAUAGCAGUGAAUACAGUUUUAUCAUCUGCAUCUUGCAAUGGACUGAUACCUGACUUUUGUUCCAAAUAUGCCCAGAAAUGCUGAGUCUCUAGUGAUGAUCUUAAUUUCUUGUAGUGGGAGCGCUGAAAGACUAAAAUACUACUUCUAGUGAAUUGCUUGCAGUGUUGUUAUAGCCAUGUUGGCCUCAAGAUAGUAGAGAGACAAGAUGGAUGAGGUAAUAUCUUUUAUUAGACCAACUUCUGAUGGUGAAAGAGACAAGCUUUCAAGCUUACAGAGCUAAAGAAGAGCUCUGUGUAAGCUCAAAAGCUUGCCUCUUUCACUUCUCCUGGAAGCUAAUGGAGAUGUUCCUUUCAAUCAACUGAUUGAGCAACUGCAUUUGGAUCCAAGGGUUUCUGGUUAGAUCAAGCACAGAUGGAUUUCUCACACUUUAAAUGUUAUCCAUGUCAUUUAAAUAGGUAUUCCUUUUUAUAUAGCUCAGGAAAUGUUGGGAAACAUGGAUUCUUCAUGUGGUCAAACAAGUUUGAAAUAUCAGUUUUUUAUAAUUGGAAAUUUAAAUCCAGUUGAAUCAUGAAAAAGAUGAAAUUCCCUUUAUCCGUCAUAUGAAAUGUUAACUUAGGUCAGUCCUGCCCUCUGCUGUAGCUGUGCAUGUGGAAGUAAACAUGCACAUAUAGAAAAGAGGACACUAGUGAGAGUGCUGAUUCCCAGAUGGAGGUAACUGCUCAGAGCUUGAGGAUUUGAAAAGUGGUGCACUGAUGUGAGUUUUGACACUAGUGUGCAUGUGGGAGUACUGAACCCUCCAGUGCACACGUGUGGGGUAUAAAUUCCCCGGGAUCAUCUGAAUGAUAUGAAACAGAUUGUUUGUUUAUUCUGCAUGAAAAGAUGCAGCAAAUGCUAAUGUAGAAAUGGCUUUGGAGGUGCUGUUUCUAUAGCCUUUGUGUACAUAGAUGUUUGGUUUGAUGUGAUGCUGAUUAAACUGAUGUCCUUGAAACAGUUGUGUGUAAGAAUCUUAAACAGCUGCUGCUUUUUAAUAUUCACUUCCUCUUUUGUUUUAAUUAUUGUGUUCCUAUAUUUUUCCCUUUCAAUUUACUAAAAUGUAGAAAUGUAAUUAGAGGGA